CAGUAGCCGCGGGAAUACGUAGGUGGCAAGCGUUGUCCGGAUUUAUUGGGCGUAAAGCGAGCGCAGGCGGUUUCUUAAGUCUGAUGUGAAAGCCCCCGGCUCAACCGGGGAGGGUCAUUGGAAACUGGGAAACUUGAGUGCAGAAGAGGAGAGUGGAAUUCCAUGUGUAGCGGUGAAAUGCGUAGAUAUAUGGAGGAACACCAGUGGCGAAGGCGGCUCUCUGGUCUGUAACUGACGCUGAGGCUCGAAAGCGUGGGGAGCAAACAGGAUUAGAUACCCGAGUAGUCCCUGUCUCUUAUAC
rnacentral:rRNA from 1 species